GUCAAUUUAGUUUAAUGUAGAAUGUUAAUUUUGUAAAUUAAAGGUUGGAUUGGCU
rnacentral:tRNA from 1 species